AUUGAACGCUGGCGGCAGGCCUAACACAUGCAAGUCGAGCGGAUGGAGGGAGCUUGCUCCUGGAUUCAGCGGCGGACGGGUGAGUAAUGCCUAGGAAUCUGCCUGGUAGUGGGGGAUAACGUCCGGAAACGGGCGCUAAUACCGCAUACGUCCUGAGGGAGAAAGUGGGGGAUCUUCGGACCUCACGCUAUCAGAUGAGCCUAGGUCGGAUUAGCUAGUUGGUGGGGUAAAGGCCUACCAAGGCGACGAUCCGUAACUGGUCUGAGAGGAUGAUCAGUCACGCUGGAACUGAGACACGGUCCAGACUCCUACGGGAGGCAGCAGUGGGGAAUAUUGGACAAUGGGCGAAAGCCUGAUCCAGCCAUGCCGCGUGUGUGAAGAAGGUCUUCGGAUUGUAAAGCACUUUAAGUUGGGAGGAAGGGCAGUAAGUUAAUACCUUGCUGUUUUGACGUUACCAACAGAAUAAGCACCGGCUAACUUCGUG
rnacentral:rRNA from 1 species